UUUGGAUAACUAAAUCAGGAUCCACCAAAACACAUUGUCGAUGUUCUCAAAGUGAGUUUUGAUGAAUUGGACGACAAACAACAGAAUGUGUUUCUUGCUUGACUUGUCGUUUUUCAUCAAGGAAGGAGUUGAGAUUUCUUUGACCACAAUAAGACAAAUACAUGGCUCUUCUGCAGAUAUUGAUAUGAGUGUUCUUAGAGAGAGAUCCCUCAUUUCAUUUGAUCUUGAUGGCUAUAUUGAGAUGCAUGAUCUUGUGAAGGAAAUGGGCCUUCAAAUUGCAAGACAACAGUCAUUCUCUGAUUGUAAAUGCCUUGUUCGGCUAUGGAGGCCCGAGGAUGUUGAUGAUUUUUCAUGUGUAACAAGGGGGAGGGGGCAAUUCGAUGCUUGUCAGUGGACAUGAGCAAGAUAAAGUGGAGGACAUUUGGGGCUAUUAAAUUGCAAAAGAUGUAUAAUUUAAUAUACCUCAAAGUUUACAAGUCUGAUGGGUGGAAGUCUUUAAAGAUGAAUAUUGGGGAAGAAUGUGGAUUAUCUGCCAGAGGGACUAAGGUUUCUUAGUUGGGAAAGAUGUCCUCUAUCAUAUGUGCCAUUAAAACUCUGUGCGCAGAAUCUUGUUGAAUUUCGAAUGCGUGAUAGUUAUAUCCAACAACUUUGGAAUGGAGACAUGGUACGUAUCAUUUUUCCUAAUGUCUAAAGAAUAUCCCCCCUCCUUUUUUUUGUGAUUCAAGGAACCUCUUGAUCUUAAUUUUUUUUAGGUAUCUCAAGUGUCAAAUAGUAACCAAAUAAUUCACAAUGUACACAUUCAUUUGCUUCAGUGUCGCAUGAAUGGUAAAACUAGUCAUAGCAUGUCGGAGGAAGCAUGACGGACUAUGUUUGUCUUAAAUCCUAUUCAGUUUGUAAAUGUGUUGAUUGAGUUCUUUCAUAAUAAUGUCUCUCUUUUAAUUGCGGUGAGAGGAAUUGAUGAUGAAAUUAUUUAGUUAUCUGAUUUAUCAAACAUGUUUUGAUUUGCAGCUUUUUCCAAAUCUAAAGGUGAUCGAUGUAGGGGGGCUCGAGGUCUCACAGCACUCCCAAAUCUGUCUCAAGCCCCAAAUAUUGAAAGCUUACAUGCUGUUGCCUGCGUAAGUUUGGAUCAAAUCCAUUCUUCAACUGUCCUUCCCAAGCUCUCUCAUUUACAACUAUAUGAGAGUGGGGGAAAGCAGAUAAAGUUGGGUGGCACUAUGAAAGGGAUAAUUGCAGGGCUGGUGUGUGUCGUCAAUUAUUUGGAUCUUCGCAGGUUGUCAUUGAAUAAAGUGAGUAUGAAGGUGUUGGCACGUGAGGAGGGUAGGAUUAUCUAUGGUGUUGGAUAUAAGCAUGUGGAAAUGCGAUUGGAGAAUAGGGAAAUGGCAGAUCUAAAAAUGGGGCAGCAAAGGUUGGCGUGGUUUACUUCCAUUUCUUAAGAAAGUUGAUUGGUCACAUGGUCCAGUUGAGUUUGGGGAUUUCAACCAUUGUUAUACCUCUCAUUUCUAUUUCCUCCGUAGUUAUAGGCCUUUUCAUGAUUCGCUAAUUGUGGAGGUGAGGAGACGUGGAGGACAAAGGGGAGAGGUGGGGCCAUUGAGAAGAGAAAUGGUUAAUCAUGACAAUGACAAGGGAGUUGAAGAAGAGGAAGAGUUGAUGCCACAAAUAAGUAACACUGAAACGCCACUAAUUAGAUUCCUAGUGGCAUUACUCGCUGGUCACUAUUGACAGAAUUGAGAUUAAAGGAGAGUGAAGUUAUUGCAAUGCAGGAAGCAGCAGCAUUCCUCAAGUUUCAAUUUUGAGAUCACUUGUACUUUCUCAGUCUCACAAAAGGACUCCUCCUCUCUUGGAUCUAUCUCUCCCUCUUGACAUUUCACCAUUCACUAACCUUACUCGUUCUUUAUACCUCAUUUAUUCCACGCCCCCGACUGAAGUGGAGGAUCCUAGUUGGUUCCGCUGUCAGUUAGAUUACGGGUUGAUCAUUUUUAUUUUUGUCAUUAUGACAAUUAUUGAUUUAAAUUGUAUCAUCAUUACUCCAAUUUUAUUGAAAUGCAACAAUCUCUUUAAUCAACAGCUAA